rnacentral:rRNA from 1 species
GUAGGUGGCAAGCGUUGUCCGGAAUUAUUGGGCGUAAAGCGCGCGCAGGUGGGUCUUUAAGUCUGAUGUGAAAGCCCCCGGGCUCAACCGGGGAGGGUCAUUGGGAACUGGGGAACUUGAGUGCAGGAGAGGAAAGUGGAAUUCCACGUGUAGCGGUGAAAUGCGUAGAUAUGUGGAGGAACACCAGUGGCGAAGGCGACUUUCUGGCCUGUAACUGACACUGAGGCGCGAAAGCGUGGGGAGCAAACAGGAUUAGAUACCCUGGUAGUCCACGCCGUAAACGAUGAGUGCUAAGUGUUGGGGGGUUUCCGCCCCUCAGUGCUGCAGCUAACGCAUUAAGCACUCCGCCUGGGGAGUACGGUCGCAAAGACUG